rnacentral:sRNA from 1 species
UACGCCUGAAGUUUACCGAGGAUGAGAACCUCCGAAGGAGGUUUGACAAAACUGUCGGGAACAGUUUUGAACGUUGCAGCGCAACGGCCCAAAGGGCGAGUAUCAGGAUGAUACGAGUAAUCCCUUUUGCUAACA